GGGUGCUUAGCUCAGCUGGGAGAGCAUCUGCCUUACAAGCAGAGGGUCGGCGGUUCGAUCCCGUCAUCACCCA
rnacentral:tRNA from 1 species